GACGAACGCUGGCGGCGUGCUUAACACAUGCAAGUCGAACGGUGAAGGGACUGGUUUUGCUGGUCCUGGAUGAGUGGCGAACGGGUGAGUAACACGUGAGUAACCUGCCCCCUUCUUCUGGAUAACCGCAUGAAAGUGUGGCUAAUACGGGAUAUUCUGGGUCUGUCGCAUGGUGGGCCUGGGAAAGAUUGCGCCUUUUUUGGUGUUUUUGGUGGGGGAUGGGCUCGCGGCCUAUCAGCUUGUUGGUGGGGUGAUGGCCUACCAAGGCGGUGACGGGUAGCCGGCCUGAGAGGGUGGACGGUCACACUGGGACUGAGACACGGCCCAGACUCCUACGGGAGGCAGCAGUGGGGAAUAUUGCACAAUGGGCGCAAGCCUGAUGCAGCGACGCCGCGUGAGGGAUGGAGGCCUUCGGGUUGGGAACCUCUUUCGCCAGUGAAGCAGGCCUGCCUCUUUUUGUGGGUGGGUUGACGGUAGCUGGAGAAGAAGCGCCGGCUAACUACGUG
rnacentral:rRNA from 1 species